CUAUCAUCAUCAUCAUCUUUACAAAUCAAAAUCUUCAGACCUGCACAAUUCGUAACUCUAGAUAUAACAACAUAUAUCUGUCCAUGACUAAAGAUUGAUUUUCUUAAGAAUAAUCCCACAUGAGACAAAGAUUGACCUUGACUUUUGUUGAUGGUCAUUGCAUACGACACAGCCAAAGAAAAUUGUCUUCGCUGAAAUUUGAAUGACAAUCUUAGAUCAAACGAAAUCAAAGACAUUUGAGGAAUCAAAACUUUAUGCCCAAUAUUAUGGCCACCCAACACUUCGAACCGAUACACCUACAUUAGCUACACAAAAAAACUUUGAAAUGGGAAUAAUUCAACCAAAUCACACACUAAUUAAAAAAACUAAAUGAUAUAUUUCUCAAUUUAUUUUUAAUUAAUAUACACAUUUUAAAUAAAAACAUUGCAUGCAAAAAAUAAGGCAACUAAUAGAUGUAAGACUACAACCCAAAUAAUGUGUUCCAAACAGUCCAAAUAAGAAUAUAUUAAAAUGUCAAACAAAAUACCCCAAAUAGAUUAAAAGAUUGCCCAAUUGUUAAAUUAAAAAGAUCCAAAAAAAAAUUUUUUGACCUAAAACGUUUUAGCUACAAUUAAUACCACUACAUUAGGAUAUUGUAUAAAAGAUUAAAUUAACUAAUACUAAUGACCCUAAUCGUAUUCUGGUUAGAGAUACAAAAAAAAUACCCCCUCUCUCUCCAAUCGGAUACCCAAAAGACUACCCAAACCCGUCACCGCCGUCCCUCGACAACCACAACGCCGCCUCCUGCCAAUCUAAAAUGCUGCAACACACAUCUGCCUAAAGCACUAUCAGAUUUGCCCUAUUCCGCUAUUAGAAGAGACUUCGAAAAGUCAAAAAUCGAGAAAAGAUCAGAGAGCAGCGCGACGGAAACGAUGGAGCUUCCGGUGAAAUCACGAAACAAUCAACGGCAAUCAAGACGAAAAGGAAUGAGGCAACAAAACUAAGGGACCAGACACCGCUUGAAGGCGGUUGAACAUCGACGGGAGAGAAAAUCAACUACGGUCGUAAACAGCCGAAGGAAAUUCAAACAGUAACAGCUCAAAAUAAAAGAGAGAAUAAGAGACAGAAGCAUCCAAAGAUAUUCAGAAAAUAAGCAGAUGAGUACCUGAACUUGAAUGUUUUAAUUGCUGAGAUGACAUACUCUUAAGUAUUAAAGAUUUUUUCAAUUCUUCAUUCA